GACGAACGCUGGCGGCGUGCCUAAUACAUGCAAGUAGAACGCACAGUUUAUACCGUAGCUUGCUACACCAUAGACUGUGAGUUGCGAACGGGUGAGUAACGCGUAGGUUACCUGCCUGGUAGCGGGUGAUAACUAUUGGAAACGAUAGCUAAUACCGCAUAAUAUUAAUUAUUGCAUGAUAAUUAAUUGAAAGGUGCAAUUGCACCACUACCAGAUGGACCUGCGUUGUAUUAGCUAGUAGGUGAGGUAACGGCUCACCUAGGCGACGAUACAUCGCCGACCUGAGAGGGUGAUCGGCCACACUGGGACUGAGACAAGGGCCAGAAUCCUACGGGAGGCAGCAGUAGGGAAUCUUCGGCAAUGGACGAAAGUCUGACCGAGGAAAGCCGCGGGAGUGAAGAAGGUUUUCGGAUCGUAAAGCUCUGUUGUAAGAGAAGAAAGGGUGUGAGAGUGGAAAGUGCACGCUGUGACGGUAUCUUACCAGAAAGGGACGGCUAACUACGUG
rnacentral:rRNA from 1 species